rnacentral:ncRNA from 1 species
GCCGAGGAGCGUUGCAACGGGCAUUUCCCCGCCAGGCUCGGAUUCACGGCGUCUAUCUUGACCAACGGCGCUCAGU